rnacentral:lncRNA from 1 species
UGUGAGAUUUGACCUUUGUAGGCUGGUGGCGGCUGUGCAAUCUCUAGCUCCACCCACUCCCUCCAAAAGCUUUGUCCUCUGACAGCUCUGCGAAGGUUUUAGCUGAGUAUUUGUGAGCACGUAUUUCUUUUGCAGUAUUUUUAAAAAUCCUCUUGAUCUGAGGCAACUUCGCUGGCUUCCUCCCCAUUCCCUUGGGCAGGUUGAGAGUGUUGGUUCCUGGCCUGACCUCAGAAACUCAGAGAAGCACAGGAUGGGCAUAAACUACUUUAUCCAAAAGGCAGAACUUUGCAAACACAGUCGUAUCUGCUGUGUCUUUUUUGAUGUAAGUAGGAAUGAUGAGUAGGGUGAAGUCACAGGUAAACAACCCAAAACGAAUUUCCAUGCCCUCCCCACGGAUCCUAAAGCAGGGACUGGAGAUGGGGAGAGAGGCUAGAUGUACUUGGAACAAAAUUCACCUUGUAUUUAUUACCUGGGCGCUGGUGUUUUUUGAAAAAAGCAAACAAGAUAACCAUAUUAGUCUGAUGCUGAGACUAUGCCCUAUCUGUAAGAAUCCUUGGGCUGGGCGCGGUGGCUCACCCUUGUAAUCCCAACACUUGGAGGCCAAGGUGGGCGGAUCACCUGAGGUCAGGAGUUCGAGACCAGCAUGGCCAACAUGGUGAAACCCCGUCUCUACUAAACAUACAAAAAUUAGCUGGGUGUGGUGGUGGGCGCCUGUAAUCCCAGCUACUCAGGAGGCUGAGGCACGAGAAUCCCUUGAACCUAGGAGGCGGAGGUUGCAGCGAGCUGAGAUGUCGCCACUGCACUCCAGCCUGGGCGACAGAGCGAGACUCCGUCUCAAAAGAAAAGAAAAGAAAAGAAAAAAAGGCAGGGCACAGUGGCUCACGCCUGUAAUCCUAGCACUUUGGGAGGCCGAGGCAGGCAGAUCGCUUGAGGUCAGGAAUUCCAGACCAGCCUGGCCAACAUGGUGAAAACCUGUCUCUACUAAAAAUACAAAAAUUAGCUGGGUAUGGUGGCGCACGCCUGUAAUCCGAGCUACUAGGGAGGCUGAGACAGGAGAAUCGCUUGUACCUGGGAGGUGGAGGUUGCAAUGAGCUGAGAUCGUGCCAUUGCACUCCAGCAGCCUGGACAACAGAGCAAUACUUGGUCUAAAAAAAAAAAAAAGAAAGAAAUGCAACGUAGGUCUCUCACGAAAUUAGCCCAAAUCUUCAGCCAUCUUCUACAGGCUGUGAAACCAGGAGAGGAAUUGAGUCCAUCUUACCUUGACCUCCCAGGCAGGGAGCGGACCAGGUCUUUUAUUGAAUCAUCUAAAUAUCACAGAUACUUAGGUCUGAGGAGUCAUCCAACAUCGUGUUUCUGUAGCUGGACAACUCUUAGAACCUCCUCAGCAGCCUGCGGAACUGUUCCUUUUUAGGAGACGUAGACAGCACCCCAACAUUUUCUGAUAUCCUUGUUUUUAACUAUUGCUGCUUGCUGAAUCAGAGCAGCUGAAUUUGAACAAGACUGAAACAAGCUCAAUGUCGCUUCCUUCAAAGAUUAAUUCGACAUUCUGGGCUUGAGAUACUGAAUAAGCAACACCUGGCCUCAUCCGAACCCUGCAGAUGGAUUUUCCACCCAAGAUGUUUCAGAUUUCAACGAGAGUCCCGUUCUCCUGGAUAACGACGUUUCUGGGGAAGUGAGCACCCACAGAGGUCAUCUUGUAAUGGAACCCAGGGCAACCCCUUUGACCAUGCUCCGUACACGACUAUGAACAGUCCCAACGGCAGCCGGCUCCCUUCAGUUUCCCCACCGUUUGUCAACCCGGAGCCUCUUUUCCUUUCCAAGGAGACUGAGUUCUACAUUGAUGUGAUUGAAGUCUCUCCUCAAGGCUGUGUGCAGUGGCUCACACCUGUAAUCCCAACACUUUGGGAGGCAGAGGCAGGCGGAUCACUUGAGGCCAGGAGUUUGAGAGCAGCCUGGCCAACAUGGUGAAACCAUGUCUCUACUAAAAAUACAAAAAUUAGCCAGGCGUGGUGGCACAUGCCUGUAGUCUCAGCUACUAGGGAGGCUGAGGCAGGAAAAUUGCUUGAACCCAGGAGGCGGAGGUUGCAGUGAGCCAAGAUCGCACCACUGCACUCCAGCCUGGGCGACAGGGCAA